UGAGUAACCUGCCCUGGACUUUGGGAUAACCCUCGGAAACGGGGGCUAAUACCGGAUAUGACGGCUCACCGCAUGGUGUGGUUGUGGAAAGUUUUUCGGUCUGGGAUGGGCUCGCGGCCUAUCAGCUUGUUGGUGGGGUGAUGGCCUACCAAGGCGACGACGGGUAGCCGGCCUGAGAGGGUGACCGGCCACACUGGGACUGAGACGCGGCCCAGACUCCUACGGGAGCA
rnacentral:rRNA from 1 species